CCGCGGUAAUUCCAGCUCGCAAAAUGCAUAGAAUUAUUGCUGCGGUUAAAAAGCUCGUAGUUGGAUCUGUGCUGGCGUGUCGGUCCACCUCCGGGUGCGCCCUGGCAGCCGUCGGCUUUUGUGCAGCUCAAGCGGGGCGGCCGCCCUUCACUGGGUGCCGCUGUCCGUUGCUGCAAGUUUACCUUGAGCAAAUCAGAGUGCUCUAAACAGGCGUUUCGCUUGAAUGUUCGUGCAUGGAAUAAUAGAAGAGGAUUUCGGUUCUAUUUUAUUGGUUUUAUAAACCGAAAUAAGGGUUAACAGAGACAAACGGGGGCAUUCGUAUUGCUACGUGAGAGGUGAAAUUCUUGGACCGAACCCAGACGAACUACAGCGAAAGCAUUUGCCAAGAAUG
rnacentral:rRNA from 1 species